rnacentral:rRNA from 1 species
UACGGGAGGCAGCAGUGAGGAAUAUUGGUCAAUGGGCGCAAGCCUGAACCAGCCACGUCGCGUGAAGGAAGACGGCCCUACGGGUUGUAAACUUCUUUUGUAAGGGAAUAAAGUGCAGUACGCGUACUGUUUUGCAUGUACCUUACGAAUAAGGAUCGGCUAACUCCGUGCCAGCAGCCGCGGUAAUACGGAGGAUCCGAGCGUUAUCCGGAUUUAUUGGGUUUAAAGGGUGCGCAGGCGGGAGAUUAAGUCGGCGGUGAAAUUUUGCAGCUCAACUGUAAAAGUGCCUUCGAAACUGGUUUUCUUGAGUGUAGAUGAAGUAGGCGGAAUUUGUGGUGUAGCGGUGAAAUGCAUAGAUAUCACGAGGAACUCCGAUUGCGCAGGCAGCUUACUAAGCUACAACUGACGCUCAGGCACGAAGGCGUGGGGAUCAAACAGGAUUAGAUACCCUGGUAGUCCACGCAGUAAACGAUGAUUACUCGCUGUUUGCGAUAUACAGUAAGCGGCUUAGCGAAAGCGUUAAGUAAUCCACCUGGGGAGUACGUUCGCAAGAAUGAAACUCAAAGGAAUUGACGGGGGCCCGCACAAGCGGAGGAACAUGUGGUUUAAUUCGAUGAUACGCGAGGAACCUUACCCGGGCUUGAAAUGCAUCUGACAGGGGCGGAGACGCCCUCUCCCUUCGGGGCAGAUGUGUAGGUGCUGCAUGGUUGUCGUCAGCUCGUGCCGUGAGGUGUCGGCUUAAGUGCCAUAACGAGCGCAACCCUCAUCAUUAGUUACCAUCAGGUGAAGCUGGGGACUCUAGUGAGACUGCCAUCGUAAGAUGCGAGGAAGGUGGGGAU